rnacentral:lncRNA from 1 species
ACAAAACUAUUUUGUGAAAAAACAUUGCAAUUUAUUAAAAUUUAGCAUUUUCUCAAUUUACUCAUGUCCUGAUACUGUGCUGGUGGGUCCUGUCAUUGUGCUGGUGGGUCCUGAUACGGUGCUGGUGAUUUUGGAUAAGAAGUUGGUCAUAUUUGAAACAAAUGUUAAAAAAUCAAUAAAAUUGGGCAGAUAAUUGUUGUCAAUAGGAUCUAUGACUCCUAUUUUAGUUCUUGUGCAUCCAUUUGGCUGUUUAAUAUGUGUUUUCAUAUGAUCGUAACUUGUAUUACAUAAUUACAUAAAAGGGCAACAUCUUUCGUCCAAUAUCAGAUAACAAGAUAUAGUAUCUAAAAUAAGAAUAGUUUUAUUAAGAUAUUAAAUGCCCCUUACAUUGAUGCUUCAACAAUGAUCAAAGCCCAUGCCGCAUAAACAUGUUUGUUAGCGCUCCGCAUACCCCUCCCCACUUCCACCCAAUCAACCCUCCUCAUUUCCUCCUUCAUUGUUACAGUGGUGUACCAACACAACAAUUUAUCACAUAAAAUAAUAACACAAAGACACACAUUAUUGAACAACGAAUGCUCGCAGGUACUGAAAGCUAGUUCAAAGCCGCAUUUUCAACUAAUAGAUAAACCGUGUUCUCAUAUACAAAAAUCCCAAUCGUGUCGAUUAAAAAAGUCUCAAAACUUAAGUUCACAUUUUAAUGUUUGAUGAAGCAGAACUUUAAAAGUGUGCAGUGAAUCUUGUGCUCACAGUAGUUAUUGUCAUUAUUAUGUUUACAUAAGACUUAUAAAGGAAUUAAGAAGGUACCAAGAAAUAUUUUACAGUUCAAUUUAAUGAUCAUGAAUGGAAGGAAAUGGUACGGAAGUUUACAUAUGACAAAAAGAAAUUGAUAGUAUUUUUUGGCGAAAGACUUAAACGCUUCUUUGUAUUAUAUAGUACAGCUCUUCUAUAAAAGCAUGCAAAAAAAAAACUUUGAUUGAGUGACUUGCUUGCUAUGUUUGCUUGGAUGUUUUCAAACAAUAGGUAGGCGGAGUUUCAAUACAUACUGGGAUUUGAUUGGACAAACACAAACUGACAGGAAUUGAAGUUAAUGUUUAUUGUCCAAACAAAUUCUAGUAUAUAGUAAACAGACUACUUACCUGUCGUUUACAAACAUCCAAACAAUCAUAGCAAGCAAUUUGAUCAAUGGUUUGCUUUGCAUAUAUUUAUAGAAGAGCUGUAAAUUCUAAAAAAAAAAUUCUUGUUGUCGUAGAUGGUUAAAUCCUCAACAAAAUCUCAAUAACUUUGUUAGAACGAAUAAAGUUUUUAAAUCAAAUUUUCGUGGACUUUUUAGCUUCCACCCUGACGAGGCAUGUUAGCUGUUCGUAUGCUCUUGCACCUGACGCACGGAAACUUUCACAUUUCCAUCUUCUUUUCUGAAAUAUUUUACCCAGCUCAUACUUGACAGGAUUGUUAUCCUAGUAAAAUGUGUAACCAAUGAAUUUAACAGAAGUUAAAAAUUCCACAAUACUAUAUAAUUCAUUUUAUGUGUCAAUUUGUUUGAAAAAAGUCGAAAAGAAGAGAGUUUUUUUAAUGUCAUGAUUAUCUGUCGCUUUCUAGAUCUAUGCUUACUAGCAUUUAUUUCAGAUGACAUGGACUCCUCACUCUGGUGACCCUGCUGCCUUUCAUAGCUUUAUCCGUGUACAUAUAUUAAUAGAUAAACAAAAGGCUGCAACUGGUAUUUUUGUAUUUAAAAUGAUUCGUUGUAACGAGAAUAUUUGUGGUGAAUGGAAACUGUGAGGGUCAAAAUCUUAAAUUGCUUAUAAAUGUUGCUGGACCCA